GCCGGAGGAUGCAAGCGUUAUCCGGAAUGAUUGGGCGUAAAGCGUCCGCAGGUGGCAGUUCAAGUCUGCUGUCAAAGACCGGGGCUUAACUUCGGAAAGGCAGUGGAAACUGAACAGCUAGAGUAUGGUAGGGGCAGAGGGAAUUCCUGGUGUAGCGGUGAAAUGCGUAGAGAUCAGGAAGAACAUCGGUGGCGAAGGCGCUCUGCUGGACCCUAACUGACACUCAGGGACGAAAGCUAGGGGAGCGAAUGGG
rnacentral:rRNA from 1 species